rnacentral:rRNA from 1 species
AUUGAACGCUGGCGGCAGGCCUAACACAUGCAAGUCGAGCGGCGAGGCGGAAGGGUGAGUGAUGCCUAGGGAUCUGCCUGGUAGUGAGGGAUAAAUUGCGGAAACGGGCGCACAUACAGAAUACUAUCAACAGAGACUCGGUCGGAUUAGCUAGUUGGUGGGGUAAAGGCGUACCAAGGCGACGAUCCGGAACUGGUCUGAGUGGAUGCUCAGUCACCCUGGAACUUAGACACGGUCCAGACUCCUACGGGAGGCAGCAGUGGGGAAUAUUGGACAAUGGGCGAAAGCCUGAUCCAGCCAUGCCGCGUGUGUGAAGAAGGUCUUCGGAUCUUAAAGCACUGUAAGUUGGGAGGCGUUACCAACAGAAUAAGCACCGGCUAACUUCGUGCCAGCCGCCGCGGUAAUAC